rnacentral:rRNA from 1 species
GACGAACGCUGGCGGCGCGCUUAAUGCAUGCAAGUCGAGCGGGACUCCGCAAGGAGUUCAGCGGCAGAUGGCUGAGUAACGCGUGAGUGACCUGCCCUGGAGAGGGGAAUAACACCGGGAAACCGGUGCUAAUGCCCCGUACGUUCCGCAGAGUAGAUACUGCGGAGGAAAGGAGCGGGGUAACCCGUCUCCGCUCCAUGGAGGGGCUCGCGUCCUAUCAGGUAGUCGGCGGGGUAACGGCCCACCGAGCCUAAGACGGGUAGCCGGAGUGAGAGCUUGUACGGCCAGAGGGGGACUGAGAUACGGCCCCCACUCCUACGGGAGGCAGCAGCAGGGAAUUUUGCACAAUGGGCGAAAGCCUGAUGCAGCGACGCCGCGUGA